GCUUUCGUGAUGUAGUGGUCAGCACGCUCGGCGGUUAUUCUAGAAGUCCGUGGUUCAAAUCCCGGCGGGGGCA
rnacentral:tRNA from 1 species